GGAGGGGUGGCCGAGAGGCUGAAGGCGACGGUUUGCUAAACCGUUAUGCGGGAUCUCUCGUAUCGAGGGUUCGAAUCCCUCUCCUUCCGCCA
rnacentral:tRNA from 1 species